UUAACGAUUAUAUCGUACUCAGACAUCACUAAAAACAAGAGUUGUGGUCCUCUGGCGGGCACUCAACAGCCGAAGCCGCUGGCGCGAGGCGGCCCGCCAAAGCAACAAAGGUAAAUUUAUUCAAGGGUGGAGUUCCAGACCAGGCUUCUUCGAGAGGCCUGACGACUCUAAACCGCGCCGAAACGUGGUAGCCCCAGGGGUUUGACACCGUGGGCGCUGUCUAUCUGUUGCUCUAGUAAUGAUCCUUCCGCAGGUUCACCUACGGAAA
rnacentral:misc_RNA from 1 species